rnacentral:lncRNA from 1 species
AGCUCCUACAUCACCAGUGAGAUCCUGUGGGGUUACCGGUUCACGCCCGUCCUGACGCUGGAGGACGGCUUCUACGAAGUUGACUACAACAGCUUCCACGAGACCUACGAGACCAGCACCCCGUCCCUUAGUGCCAAAGAGCUGGCCGAGCUGGCCAGCAGGGCAGAGAUGCCCCUGAGUUGGUCUGUGUCCAGCAAACUCAACCAACAUGCAGAACUGGAGACUGAGGAGGAAGAGAAAAAUCAGGAAGAGCAAACAGAAAGGAAUGGUGACGUGGCAAAUCUAGAGAAUGAGUCCAAAGUUUAGCGCCUGGCUGGGCCCCCUCCCUCCUGCCCCAGACGUGGCCUUUCCUCGUCACUCAUCCUCUUUCUUUUGGUCUCUCUGGCUUUGUUCUUUAUACUUAAUUUUGACAUCACCAGAAAACAAGUCUUCAAGGUGUAAAAUCCCUACCUGCCCUCUCUCAGCUGUUCAGAUUGACAAGGUAGACCAGAUGGUUAAGGAGCCGUGGGCCCACAUUUGUGGCCCAAGUUUGAUCUCUUCUCAAAAUACCCACCUCCAACUCCUAGAGAUUUGAGCUGCUAACCUGCAUGUGUCGAACAAUACCAGAUCACUCUAAAGGGAGUGUCCAAGAUUUUACCUGGGAUGUGACGAGCGAGGUCUCCGGUGCCUAUCUACCGCGCAGUGAGUCAUAGGGUACAGCCCUGAGUUUUAUAGAUCCCACACAUUUCAUCUGCUACAGGGUAAGGUGCUUGCCCAUGCGGGCACUGCAGGUAUAGGACCCAGGUGAGCUAAAGACUAACCACUGUACAUAUAUAUGCCUUAUGUAAUUUUUUCUUUUGGCAAUUAGUAAUAAAG